GACGUAGGGCGCGAGCGUUGUCCGGAUUUAUUGGGCGUAAAGAGCUCGUAGGCGGCUUGUCGCGUCGACUGUGAAAACCCGCGGCUCAACCGCGGGCUUGCAGCCGAUACAGGCAGGCUAGAGUUCGGUAGGGGAGACUGGAAUUCCUGGUGUAGCGGUGAAAUGCGCAGAUAUCAGGAAGAACACCCGUGGCGAAAGCGGCUCUCUGGGACGGUACUGACGCUGAGACGCGAAAGCGUGGGGAGCGAACAGG
rnacentral:rRNA from 1 species